rnacentral:rRNA from 1 species
CCUACGAGUGGCAGCAGUGAGGAAUAUUGGUCAAUGGACGCAAGUCUGAACCAGCCAUGUCGCGUGCAGGAUGACUGCCCUAUGAGUUGUAAACUUCUUUUGUACGAGGGUAAACGCAGAUACGCGUAUCUGUCUGAAAGUAUCUUACGAAUAAGGAUCGGCUAACUCCGUGCCAGCAGCCGCGGUAAUACGGAGGAUUCAAGCGUUAUCCGGAUUUAUUGGGUUUAAAGGGUGCGUAGGCGGUCUGUUAAGUUAGAGGUGAAAUGCUGAGGCUCAACUUCUGAAUUGCCUUUGAUACUGUUCGGCUAGAGAGUAGUUGCGGUAGGCGGAAUGUAUGGUGUAGCGGUGAAAUGCUUAGAGAUCAUACAGAACACCGAUUGCGAAGGCAGCUUACCAAGCUACUUCUGACAUUGAGGCACGAAAGCGUGGGGAGCAAACAGGAUUAGAUACCCUGGUAGUC